rnacentral:rRNA from 1 species
GAUGAACGCUAGCUACAGGCUUAACACAUGCAAGUCGAGGGACCGGCGCACGGGUGAGUAACACGUAUCCAACCUGCCCUUUACACGGGGAUAGCCUUUCGAAAGAAAGAUUAAUACCCGAUAUAAAGGAUGGGGAUGCGUUCCAUUAGGUUGUUGGUAAGGUAACGGCUAACCAAGCCUUCGAUGGAUAGGGGUUCUGAGAGGAAGGUACCCCACAAUGGAACUAAGGCCCAGACUAAAAGCCUACGGGAGGCAGCGGAGAGGAGGAUAGGGGAAUGGGCGCUAGCCUGAACCAGCCAAGUGUCGUGAAGAAUGAAUGGGUAUGGGUCGUAAUCUUCUUUUAUAUAAGAAUAUGUAUUAUAUGAAUAAGGAUCGGCUAACUCCGUGCCAGCAGCCGCGGUAAUUC